rnacentral:rRNA from 1 species
GAUGAACGCUGGCGGCGUGCCUAAUACAUGCAAGUCGAACGCCGACGGGGGUGCUUGCUCUUCUGGACGAGUUGCGAACGGGUGAGUAAUGCGUAGGUAACCUGCCUGGUAGCGGGGGUAAACUAUUGGAAACGAUAGCUAUUACCCCAUCACAACACUUAUUACAUGAUGACUGCUUCAAAGGUGCCGCUGUUCCACUACCAGAUGGCUCUGCGUUGUAUUAGGUGGUUGGUGAGGUAACGGCGCACCAAGGCGGAGAUACAUAGCCGAGCUGACAGGGUGAACGACCACCCUGGGACUUGAACAACGGCCAGACUCCUACGGGGAGCAGCAGUAGGGGAUCUUCGGCAAUGGAGGGAAGGCUUGCCGAAGAACUGCGCGUGAGGGAAGGAGGGUCUUGGGGUGGAAAGGUCUGUUGGAAGGGAAGGACGAGCGUGGGAGUAGAAAGGUCGCGGUGUGACGGUAUCUUACGAGAAAGGAACGGCUAACUACGUG